AUUGAACGCUGGCGGCAUGCCUUACACAUGCAAGUCGAACGGCAGCGUGGAGAGCUUGCUCUCUGAUGGCGAGUGGCGAACGGGUGAGUAAUGCAUCGGAACGUACCGUGUAAUGGGGGAUAGCGUAGCGAAAGUUACGCUAAUACCGCAUACGACCUGAGGGUGAAAGCAGGGGAUCGCAAGACCUUGCGUUAUACGAGCGGCCGAUGUCAGAUUAGCUAGUUGGUGAGGUAAAGGCUCACCAAGGCGACGAUCUGUAGCGGGCCUGAGAGGAUGAUCCGCCACACUGGGACUGAGACACGGCCCAGACUCCUACGGGAGGCAGCAGUGGGGAAUUUUGGACAAUGGGGGCAACCCUGAUCCAGCCAUGCCGCGUGAGUGAAGAAGGCCUUCGGGUUGUAAAGCCCUUUCGGCCGGGAAGAAAUCGCACAGGCUAAUACUCUGUGUGGAUGACGGUACGGGCAUAAGAAGCACCGGCUAACUACGUGCCAGCCGCCGCGGUAA
rnacentral:rRNA from 1 species